GAUGAAGAACGCAGCGAAAUGCGAUAAGUAAUGUGAAUUGCAGAAUUCAGUGAAUCAUCGAAUCUUUGAACGCACAUUGCGCCCCCUGGUAUACCGGGGGGCAUGCCUGUUCGAGCGUCAUUUCACCACUCAAGCCUCGCUUGGUAUUGGGCAACGCGGUCCGCCGCGUGCCUCAAAUCGACCGGCUGGGUCUUCUGUCCCCUAAGCGUUGUGGAAACUAUUCGCUAAAGGGUGUUCGGGAGGCUACGCCGUAAAACAACCCCAUUUCUAAGGUUGACCUCGGAUCAGGUAGGGAUACCCGCUGAACUUAAGCAUAUCAAUAAGCGGAGGA
rnacentral:misc_RNA from 1 species